CCGCCACCUCCCAAUCCAAUCUCACCCCGCCGCCUCCCGAUCCACCGUCGACCUCGCCGUCCUCCUCACUCACCGCCGACCUCGCCGUCCUCCUCACCCACCGCUGCUGACCUCGUCCCUCCCUCCCCUCACCAUCUCUCCCUCGUCUCACCUCACCGCGAGCCCCGCAACCCAAACCAUCGCUGCCUCCCUUCCAGAUCCAUCGCGGCACCAACCACCUCCACCCCCCUCCCGCCGUAGCGACCAAAUCCUCCCACCCCCACCCCGCCCCCAAACCCUAGCGCGCCAAUGCCCCGCUAGCCAGCCCCCUCCCACCCGACCUGAUCACCGGGGCGGCCAUGGAUCCGGGCGGGACGAUGCUACUGGAGGACUUCGGGCAGCGGGUGUACCUGACGCGCCGCAUCCGCGAGGUGAUGGCCAACUACCCGAAGGGCACCACCGCGCUGCGGGAGCUCAUCCAGAACACCGACGACGCCGGGGCCUCGCGGGUCCGCCUCUGCCUCGACCAUCGGCGGCAGGAAGAAGGCCUCCCAGGCCUGGAAGACCGGCCGCUUCGGGUCUGUCAUUCAAGUUCGCAAUGGGUUUACAUUUCUUGACCUUAUUGUGAUUCAGAUUGAGUCCCUGAACAAGAAGUAUGGAUGCAGUGUUCCUUUGCUUCUAAUGAACUCUUUCAACACUCAUGAUGACACACAGAAGAUUGUUGAGAAGUACUCCAACUCCAACAUUGAAAUUCACACUUUCAACCAGGGCCAAUACCAUCGCAUUGUCUCUGUUAGUGUGAACGCUGAGCGUUGGAUCGUGUGUGUGCUGCAGAUCUCGACGCCAUGAAGGCCCUGCAUGACAAGCUCAUGGUGCUCAAGCUCAACGGAGGCCUCGGCACCACCAUGGGCUGCACCGGCCCCAAGUUAUUUGCAUCUUGAUUAGGAGAUGAUGGUGAUCAUCUUUUGUUGCGGGAACCUGUUAGAUAAAGUUUAUGUGAUUUGAACCUGCAAGAUACAUUUCUGUAUAAUGUUGUGUGAGAUAAAAGUUGUGAACAUAGGAGAUAAGUUAUUGAUAUGUGUUGGCCUGUCUAAUGUUAUGCGAGAUAAAGUUGUGUGAGAAAGUUUUCUAUACUUGUGUUAUUACUGUGGGAAAGAAGUACUGUUACUAUACUGAUUUCAGAA